rnacentral:lncRNA from 1 species
UGACCCCAUCUUGGUGAACUUCAGUUUCCUUAUCUGUCUCUUAGAGUUGUCUUGGAUCCUGGCACUGUUAAUACUUCAGUCAUUCAUAGUUGAUCAUCAUACACUGUUGCUGUUCACUGUGUAUAACGUUCUCCUGAUUCUGCAACAUUCAUUUGGCAUCAUUUCAUAAAAGGUGAUCCAGCCUUUUGAAGAUGAGGAUUAGAGAGAAAAAGGGAC